GAAAAUUUCCAGUUCUCAGUAUAACUGCCAACUGGCCCAGGGGUGGACAAUUGAGUCAGAUGAGACCAAAAUGAAAAUUUUGUUGAGACUCUGGACCUUGAGGAUUCAAGCCAAGGACAAAAAAGUAAAAGGCCACUAGAAACAGCAGGUCAUGGCCCCAGCUCCUGUCCCUCCAUGCAGAACAUCUGUCAACACCUGUGGACAUCUUUUCCUCCCCCCAUUCCUAUGAAUGUUGCUCAGUUGUUACAUGGCAUGGACAAAUGCUGUUGGCUGGUGGCAUGGACACACUGGACAAGCUUGGCCUUUGGUAAAACAAAGACUGGAUUCAAUUACUCAAACUGAAACAGGAAUGCUUGGAUGAACAAGCCUGCCAGGAAGUCCCACUGGAGGCACUCAACCUGUGCCCCUUCCCUCUUUGGACCAAGAACCUGAACUUGAGAGAUGAAUGGCUUAUCCAAGGUUAUGGCAAGGUUACACAGAGCUGAAACUAGACACAGGUGUACAUGCCUAUUGAUCAAGGCUGGCUGUGAAAUCGAACUGCCUCAAAUAUUGAUUCUUUUUGCCACUUCUGAUUCUCUGACCCUGUUUUUCAUAGUUUAGGAUGUAGGAAUAAUAAAAAUAUCAGCUAAUGGGGUAUCCUGA